ensembl:lncRNA
AUGUGUAGUUUCUGUUCAAACUUUAGCUGGAGGUCAAAAAUUUUAAACUAUCUGCUCCUUAUUUCACAGGAAUUUACAAUAGAAGGGCUGAAGGGAACACUGAGGCCAAAGGACUUUGUCAAGCUGAGCAAUUCUACCAAAAGUGUUAUCAUGAACCUGCUAAAUUUACAUGUGUUUUGUUUACAUUGCAAAAGAGAAUCCAGUGCGAUCACUGCCUUCAAGAAAACCUAUGGCUUUUCAAGAGAGACUUGCAAUUCCUGAGAACAAACAUACAUGAUCACAGAAAAUCAUGUAUUGCCAGCUUUUGGGUAGAUGCUGAGGUAAGCUUCAUGAUUCUUUUUCUUAAGUUUUCCCCCUUUCCUGUCAAAAUCUUUGAAACAGUAAUUUGAAACAAAUGGGAGUCCUCCUUGGGAUAAAUUCAUUUAAGCAACACAGAAAGAGAAACAAAUAAGAUUAGAAGAAAAUUUAAAUCUUUCAGAAUGAAGAUAGUGUGUGAACAGAACUGCAUAAGGCAAAAAGUGAUUUUUGUUUUUUAAUUGUAGUACUGCAUUGUAACAAGUAAUGUUAUGUAUCUAAGCAAGUUGAUUUAAAAACAAGAAACAGAAGAGUAGUACAUGAGGUAGAACCAGUGUUUGCAAGUCUCCUGCUCAUCACUGUACAUGGUAUUUGGAAGGGAAAAUUAAUGUCAGAAGGAUGCUAUUGUUCUCAGAAGUGGUCACCACUUGAUAAAUCACCUUUAUCAAGUUCAGAGCCUUCUGAGCCCUUUAUUUUCAUUCUCAUAUUAUCCUUCUAUUUCAAAUGAUGGCUUUUUAUUUAUUUUUGUUCAGCAUGAUUUACUUCACUUGAUUUUAAAUCUGAAUUUCUUAGAACUUGCUAGAUCACUCAGAAUAACCUGCACAGUAUCAAAACUCUGUUGUUGAUCCCUGGUUUCAUGUGUACUGUCCAUUAAAAUGAUCAUUUCCAAAGAUUUAGUGACAUCUUUCGUGACAACCUCGGACUGGGCAUAGUGUGGGAAAAUGCUAGCAUAAAGUCUCUUUGAAAAGAGAACAUGAACAGAAGGUGGCAAAACAAAUCACCAACAACUUUGUGGAUAAUAGGUAAAUUCUCUUUCAAUUUCUGAAGAUUAGGAAAUGGUAAAUUAUAUUUACCACACCACCUGCACAGACAUACACCUGUCUAUCUCUGAAGAACUUUAAGUUUUCUUCUCAGUUGUUAGUGUACGUGUUUGUCUCUACCCUGCAAAGGCAGAGAGGUAUCAGCAUGAUGUAAAAGGAGGUUGCUUAUAUUGUUUUUAUUCUUUUCCUUCUUAUGAAGUUGUUUGUUGGAGUGUUAUGGAGGAUUGUAAUAUGCUGUAAUAGGUUAAGGAAUUCCAGUAUGCUGAGGGAUUAACAUAUGAGAUAAAUGUGUCAGUUUUCAGUUUGCCAAAUCAUUGAGUUUUGACUUUCUGUAGACACAGCUGAGCAUUACUCAUACCAGUUAUUUUGAGCUGUUAAAGAAAAUGAUAUUAUAACUUUGCAAAAAAUUUAUAAAUAUUUUCAUUGAUUUUGAUUCCGAAUGAAAACAAAUAGGACUAUUUCUCCUAAUGCAAGAAUGUUUAAAGGAUAUUUUGGGUCAGUAAAAAUGUCAAUUCUUUUCAAUUUAUAGUUUUAUAUAUUUUUUUAAUAUGGCAACUAAAUAAUUUGGUCUCAUUAAAACUGUUGUGUUCCUGUUGAAAUUAUCCCUUUAGAUGAAAUACAUUCUCUGGGGUGGAAGAAAAGUCUUCGCACUCAGGGCUGCAAAUGUCCCUCUUUUUCCUUUUAAGGAAAAUGAUGUCUGAUGCAAACAUGACUCAAGAAACAUAGAGAAACUGUAUUUGUGCUUAAUCUGGCCCAGGUAUAGAAAGUACCAGCAGCUGCAAAACCGUGAAUAGCAGCCAUAAAUUAUCUGGCUCACUCUCAAGUGGAAAAAAACAGGAGACUUCUUCAGCAAAAGUGUUAUCUGAAAUAAGCAAUCUCUCACUGCUUAGUAGCGUAAAUUAAAGUUAGUUGAAAAUAAAUAAAAUAAGCAUUUUCA